GCAGUCGAACGAUGAUCCCAGCUUGCUGGGGGAUUAGUGGCGAACGGGUGAGUAACACGUGAGUAACCUGCCCUUGACUCUGGGAUAAGCCUGGGAAACUGGGUCUAAUACCGGAUACGACCAUCUGGCGCAUGUCAUGGUGGUGGAAAGCUUUUGUGGUUUUGGAUGGACUCGCGGCCUAUCAGCUUGUUGGUGGGGUAAUGGCCUACCAAGGCGACGACGGGUAGCCGGCCUGAGAGGGUGACCGGCCACACUGGGACUGAGACACGGCCCAGACUCCUACGGGAGGCAGCAGUGGGGAAUAUUGCACAAUGGGCGCAAGCCUGAUGCAGCGACGCCGCGUGAGGGAUGACGGCCUUCGGGUUGUAAACCUCUUUCAGUAGGGAAGAAGCGAAAGUGACGGUACCUGCAGAAGAAGCGCCGGCUAACUACGUGCCAGCAGCCGCGGUAAUACGUAGGGCGCAAGCGUUAUCCGGAAUUAUUGGGCGUAAAGAGCUCGUAGGCGGUUUGUCGCGUCUGCUGUGAAAGACCGGGGCUCAACUCCGGUUCUGCAGUGGGUACGGGCAGACUAGAGUGCAGUAGGGGAGACUGGAAUUCCUGGUGUAGCGGUGAAAUGCGCAGAUAUC
rnacentral:rRNA from 1 species